GAUGAACGCUGGCGGCGUGCCUAAUACAUGCAAGUCGAGCGAACAGAUGAGGAGCUUGCUCCUCUGACGUUAGCGGCGGACGGGUGAGUAACACGUGGAUAACCUACCUAUAAGACUGGGAUAACUUCGGGAAACCGGAGCUAAUACCGGAUAAUAUAUUGAACCGCAUGGUUCAAUAGUGAAAGACGGUUUUGCUGUCACUUAUAGAUGGAUCCGCGCCGCAUUAGCUAGUUGGUAAGGUAACGGCUUACCUAGGCAACGAUGCGUAGCCGACCUGAGAGGGUGAUCGGCCACACUGGAACUGAGACACGGUCCAGACUCCUACGGGAGGCAGCAGUAGGGAAUCUUCCGCAAUGGGCGAAAGCCUGACGGAGCAACGCCGCGUGAGUGAUGAAGGUCUUCGGAUCGUAAAACUCUGUUAUUAGGGAAGAGCAAAUGUGUAAGUAACUAUGCACGUCUUGACGGUACCUAAUCAGAAAGCCACGGCUAACUACGUG
rnacentral:rRNA from 1 species